rnacentral:rRNA from 1 species
UACAGAGGCCUCGAGCGUUGUUCGGAAUUACUGGGCGUAAAGGGAGUGUAGGUGGUGACGUAAGUCAGAUGUGAAAGCCCUGGGCUCAACCUGGGAAUGGCAUUGGAUACUGGCGACCUAGAGUGCGGUAGAGGGGUGUGGAAUUCCCGGUGUAGCAGUGAAAUGCGUAGAUAUCAGGAGGAACACCGGUGGCGAAGGCGGAUCUCUGGGCCUUACCUGACGCUCAGGCACGAAAGCUAGGGGAGCGAACAGG